rnacentral:snoRNA from 1 species
UGGUUUUUGUUUGUAAUAAAUUAUUUUUAUAAAAAAUAAAAAAAUAAAUGUAUUUUUAAAGUGGUAGGUCUCGCUAUCCACGAUGACGAGUCAAGAUAUUCCCGUUCAGAGCAUGAAUCUGGCGGCCUGAAGUGACUUUGCUAAAUUUUCUUCCACCUUUGAUGACUGUUCCUUGUUCUUCAAUGAACAUGGAAGAAGGGAAUAUGUUCUGAGUGGA